AAUCACAAGCUACUUACAGCAAUUAAAUGCUUCCUUGGGAAGGGUGAUUCAGUAGCAAAGUCAAACAAGUGGUUGUUUUGCAAAACCAGCAGAUGCGCAAAUCUCAAGGGUGAUUGCGAAGCGCUCAGACUGAAUUUGGGACAAAGGACAGAUCCGUUUGAAAGAGGAUAAGUUCAGAUUUCCAGAUUGUAUUCAAACUCCCUAUUCGAACUCCUAAUAAUGGAAAUAUGGUGCUUUUCUUUUCAGGAUAAAAC
rnacentral:lncRNA from 1 species